rnacentral:tRNA from 1 species
UCGCUGGUGGCUCAGUGGUAAAGAAUCUGCCUGCCAAAGCAGGAGACUCAGGUUUGAUCCCUGAUCUGGGAA